UACGUAGGUGACAAGCGUUAUCCGGAAUUACUGGGCGUAAAGCGCACGCAGGCGGUCUUUUAAGUUUGACGUGAAAGCUCCCGGCUUAACUGGGAGAGGUCGUUGAAGACUGGAAGACUUGAGGCAAUGAGAGGGGUGUAGAAUUCCCGGUGUAGUGGUGGAAUGCGUAGAUAUCGGGGGGAAUACCAGUGGCGAAAGCGGCACCCUAGCGUUAGCCUGACGCUCAUGUGCGAAAGCGUGGGGAGCGAACGGG
rnacentral:rRNA from 1 species